rnacentral:rRNA from 1 species
GACGAACGCUGGCGGCGUGCUUAACACAUGCAAGUCGAACGGAAAGGCCCUGCUUUUGUGGGGUGCUUGAGUGGCGAACGGGGGAGUAACACGUGAGUAACCUGCCCCUGACUUUGGGAUAAAUUCAGGGAACUGGGGCUCAUACCGGAUAGGAGAUCCUGCUGCGUGGUGGGGGUUGGAAAGUUUCGGCGGUUGGGGAUGGACUGGCGGGUUAUGAGCUUGUUGGUCGGGUAGGGGCUUACCAAGGCUUGGAAGGGUAGCCGGCCUGGGAGGGGGACCGGCGACAUGGGUACUGAGAGACGGCCCAGUCUGGAACGGGAGGCAGCAGGGGAGAGUAUUGCACAAUAGGCGGAAGCGUGAUGCAGCAACGCCGCGUGCGGGAUGACGGCCUUCGGGUGGUGAACCGCUGUCGCCUGUGACGAGGCGUGAGUGACGGUAAUUGGUAAAGAAGCACCGGCUAACUACGUG